GCACAGGGAUUGGCAGGCAGAUGCAACAGUGUCAGAUGAGCACUUGAAAGAGCUUGAGAAAAGCUCAGAAUUCCUGAAAAUACUUUUACCAAGGAUUGUUGGACCUGGUGAUAACCCAGAGCAGGGAAACCACUUCAUUCUUUGGGUUUUUGACAUGACUACAAAAACCAUCAGAGUUUAUGACAACACUGAUCAGUAUGUGACAAUUUCAAACCGGGACAUGGAAGUUCUGAA